rnacentral:lncRNA from 1 species
ACAUUAACUAAACCAAAUAACAGUCCCGGACACAUUCUUCUUCCUGCACCAAACGGAAUAAAUUCAAAGUGGUUUCCUCUGAAAUCAAUAGAAUUAUUCUCAAAUCUCUCAGGUAUAAAACUUUCCGGAUUAUGCCAAUUUGUAGAUUCUCUUCCAAUUGCCCAUACAUUCACCAGAACUCUAGUUUUGAUGGGUAUUAUAUAUUUGUCAAUUUUUGUUUCUUCUCUGCAUUCCCUUGGGAUUAAUAGAGGAACAGGAGGGUGCAACCUUAAUGUUUCUUUAAUCACUAGGUUUAGAUACUUCAACUCUUCUAGAUCAAUAUCCUCAAAUGUUCUCUUUCCUUUUAGGACUUCUCUAACUUCAAGUUGUGCUUUAGCCAUAACACUUGGAUUUCUUAUCAUUUCAGCCAUAGCCCAAAUAAUUGUUGUAGCUGAGGUUUCAGCUCCUGCUAAGAACAUGUCCUGCAUGUAAAGGCUAACGUUUCAAUAUUGUACUCUAGCAUAAAUAUUAACUUCAAUGUUUAAAUACUAUAAAUAAUAAAAUGAAAAAAGAAAACAAAAUGAAAUAUCUCAUAUGGUAUUAGACUUACAAAAAUAACACUUUUGAUAUUCUCAUUUGUGAUUGGAGUUCCCAAUUCGCCACUCUCCAUGACUCGAAGUAGAACAUCGAUCAAAUCUUCACCUCCAGUCUCACCAUUGCUCUUCUUUCCGUUAGCUCGACUUUCCUGAUGCUCAUUAAGGAUAUUCUCCAAAAUUGCAUCUACCUUUUUGUGAACCUUCAACAUUUUGGACUUCAAUCCAGUAAUCUUGUGAAGCCAUUUUCGGGAAGGGAACAUAUCAGCCAAGUCAAAUCCUGCAGCUAAUGAUGAUAUGUCCUUCACCAACAUUAUCAACUUAUCUUGAUCAUGAAUCACUUUCCCGAAAGCUGACCUACAAGUUACUGAACUUGUAAACCAAAACAUUUUGUCUGAUAAGUUAAUCAAUGAGUCAUCAGGCAUGGAGUUAACGGAUGAAAUGAGACUUGACAUCUGUGCUUGUCGAAUUGAAUUAAAUGACUUGACCAUCUUUGCGCUAAGAAGUUCCACGAUGCACACUUUGCGCAUAUUUCUCCAGUGAUCACCAUAUGGACAAGUUAUAAUGUCUGUGUAGUUGUAGAAAAUAAUAUCUCCGGCCAUAAAUUCAGGCCUAGUAGCAAAGCGAAGGUCUUGAGUUUUCAUAAUUUCUUUUGCCAUCUCAGGUGAAGAUACAACAAUGAUCGAUAUUUCUCCAAGACGUAAGUGAAAGAUUGGCCCGUAUCUUCGCGAUAGACUUCUGAGAGUAUGAUGUACUGGAAGGCGGCCAUUCAUAAAUAGGUGCAAGUUCCCAA